UACGUAGGGUGCGAGCGUUGUCCGGAAUUAUUGGGCGUAAAGCGCGUGUAGGCGGCUUGGCAAGUCAGAUGUGAAAGCCCUCGGCUUAACCGAGGAAGUGCGUCUGAAACUGCUGAGCUUGAGUGUCGGAGAGGAUGGCGGAAUUCCGCAAGUAGAGGUGAAAUUCGUAGAUAUGCGGAGGAACACCGGUGGCGAAGGCGGCCAUCUGGACGACUACUGACGCUGAGACGCGAAAGCGCGGGGAGCAAACAGG
rnacentral:rRNA from 1 species